CAAAGCAUGUGUACCAGCACUAAAGCACCGGAUCCCAUCAGAACACCGAAGUUAAGCGUGCUUGGGCGAGAGUAGUACUAUGAUGGGUGACCUCCUGGGAAGUCCUCGUGAUGCAUCCC
rfam:Oryza rufipogon genomic scaffold, chr11